GGAAUCAAGUCUCUCUUUUGAUAAGGUGGAAGGCGAGAGAGGCGGCGCAGACGAUCAACGCCAUCAUCGACGGGAAGCUCAAUGCUCUACAGUAAUAUACAAAUGCAAAUCGUCAACCGGCAAAAAAAAAUCAUAAUUAAAGAGAUUAAAACGUACCCAAGAGUGAGUCUUUUAGACGGAUCGCCGCUGGAAUAACCCUUGAAGUAGAAGAACCUUCCGACGACGUAUAAUGAUCCGAUGGAAGAUGCGAUUAGAGGAUGAUGAAUGCCGGAGAGCAACAUCGCCGCGAAGAACGAUGGCAUCAUCUCGAGUGAGUUUUGGUGUCCUCUCUGGAUACAAUUGAAGAUCUUGGCAUUCUUGUUCUCAGAUUCCUCUGCGUACAUCGCCGGAUAAGGUACGUUGUACUUCUUCCUUGCUUUACCCACCGACAUAGCCAUCCAGAAGUUCAUUAUCGAGUAGACGACGAACACGGCGACCACAUAUCCGUACUCCUUUGGAAGCAAAUCUACAAUCGUUGCCAUUAUCGUAGCUUUUUUUUCGAUCUUCCUCGUCGGAGCUUGGCUUGUUUUUGGUUCUGUUCCUCCUUGAUCUGUGAAUCUGUGAUGUUAUUUAUAGUCGUUUUUGGGUUUGACCGAUCCAGCUCCGAUCUAUUUAUCUCUUUUCAAUGCGGCGUGCAGGUGGGGGCGGCAGGUUUGAGUAAUGGAUGUUCUUAAAUUCACCCUAAUCAUGACGUACCCAAUGACGUCACCUUCUAAAUUAUUUAUUUAAUUAAUCCAAAGAGUAAAAAUAUUAUAAAAAAAUUUGGAGAAGUUGUUAAAAGAAUUUCAAGACGAUUUUGAUUAAAUAGAAAAUUAAGAGAUUACAAACUAAUUAAUUAAACAACUAAAAGUAGAUAAGAUGUAUGGAAUAGAUGUAGCGUGCUAGUCCUUGGCUUGAAGGUCAAAAACCAAUAGCGAGGUUUCCUUCUAUUUUCUGGUAGUUGUAUCUGUCGCUCGUCGGAAGUGGAAAACUGUUGCUCGCGAAAUGAUCUCACUCGCGGUCACUGGGAGGCGUGGAGCCGAGGUCUCACUCGAGGUCAUUCGAUCAAGUUAAAAAAGAGGUUAGGGAGGAGGUUUGAUCUGGAGGCUAGGCGUGGAGUGCAGCUGAUCUGGGGUGACCUCGCUCGCUCCCCAUUUCUCGCUCUCGCAUGCUCGCUCUCUUCCAAUCCCUCUUUCUCGGUCGAUCGCCGCCAGGGCUCGCUCGCGGUCAGUGACCGGACUUCAACCUGGUAGAAAACAUCGUUUGGAUGUUUUGGAUCGAAAAUUUUGCGACCAACUUGUCGACUGGGAGAAAAAGACGACCAAUCUGGUUGGUCGUUUUGUAUUGUGAACAAAACCAAAUUUGCCAAUCAACCUAGUUGGUCGCCAAAACGUCAGUUUCUUGUAUUCAUACGGUAACUAAGUUUUGGAUUGCUUGAGUCCCAAGCUAGCCAAGCUUUCUCCUACUGAGCUUGGUUCAAUUUGAUAAGCUUGAUAGGGACAUUAUAAAAUAUUUGAAAAAAAUUCAAAUGAGAUUACCUUAAUUAAUAUUUAGAUGUCAUUUCAUAUGUAGAAACCUAGGCCAGAAACUAUUGUUGAUACCAUGACCUAAUAAUCACGGGAUCAGCCAGGCCCACAUAAGCCCACGUGCUUGGGGAUAUGGUUGUGAUAAAAAUAAUUACAGGGAUUUGCAGGCCCGAACAAGAUAGACAUGUGCUUGGGUUUGCGACAGGAGAUAUAAAGGGAAAUACUCCCUUUUGCCAAACUCUAACUGGUCUUGUUUUUUUACGAUUGGUUUAGGCGGAAGAUUUCAUCUGGGUCAGUAUUGAUAGCAAUAUUAUCCUGCUAAUGGGGUUGGAUUUGCCAGAUACUUAUAUGAGCCUAAGCCCAAGUCGUAGUCGAGUCCCCGAGAACGACCCGAGUGGUAUUUGGGUCAGACUCAUAUUUGACCGGAUCAGAUUCUUGAUGGGUCUGGGUUAUGGACUGAGUCACUGCUGUUAGCCUUGAACCACAUACACUGGAUCGAGGGUAUUAAUACCUAUAUCUAUACAGUCUAAACUACAGAAUGAAAGAGAGUGAGAGAGUUGGUAAGUAAUCUAAUGUCAUUAUUGUAGUAAUUAGUAAAUGCAGAGGUAGUUUAGUAAUUUCAUAAAUAUUUAAAAGUCAAAAUUACACUCAAAAGUCAAAAUGAAAAUAAAUAUUUAUUAUAGUAUUAUUUUCAAAGGAAAAGUAGUCCGAAUAAUAAUAUUUAUUUAUUUAUUUAUUAAUUAAUCGUCUGAAUCACGGUGAAGGGAUGUCGGCGGAUGAUUGGAACCAAGUUUCUCUUUUCAAAAGAUGGACGGCAAGGGAACCGGUGCAUACAAUCAGUGCCAUCAACGACGGGAGGCUCACCGCUCUGUUAAUCGAGAAAAAAAAAUAUCGAUUCAUAUAUAAACCCAAACAGCUAGAUUGAUUAAAUACUGAAAGCUAGAUUCGCUGGUCGAUUAUUAACUAACUUACCCAAUUCCGGCGAACCUCUUGGAGGGCUCGCCAAGGGAGUAAUUCUUGAAGUAGAAGAACCGGCUGAUUGUGUAGAGGGAUCCGAGGGUAGAUGCGAUGAGAGGAUGGUGGAUACCGGAGACUAAUAACGUCGCGAAGAACGUCGGCAUCAUCUCGAGUGAGUUUUGGUGUCCUCUCUGGACACAGUUGAAGGGCUUGGCGUUCUUGUUCUCGGAUUCUAUGGCGUACAUGGUCGGAUACAUGACGUUGUACUUCUUCCUUGCUUGACCCACCGAUAUAGCCAUCCAGAAGUUCAUUAUCAUGUAGACAACGAACACGGCGACCACGAAUCCAUACUCCUUUGGAAGCAGAUCAACCACCGUUUCCAUCCUCGCCUAUUUCGCCGGAGCUUUUUAUUCUUUUUUCGCCGGAAUGCUUGUUGGAGUGGCUUUUUUUUAUCCUUUUCUAGUGUCUUCACGUCAGUCCUAUAUAGGCAUAUAGCGUAUUUAGAAGGGUGUAGAUGUGAAUUUAUAUUUUCAGUUGGAUUUUUUAGCAAAAAUAAAAAAGAACAGUCAAUGCCACGUCACUUUCACUUACCCACCAUAUGACGUCACUUUCACUUAUCCAUGUCAUUUUUUAUAACGGUCAAGAGUUGUGCUUUGACAAUACUAACGAAUUGAAUGACAUUAUAUAACUCAUUCCAUUUUGGUGUUCGGAACAUGGGACCAUCGAGUCUAACCCUAACCCAACAAGCUCGUACGGCCCAGUGGACCAGACCGAGCAGACUCAAUAACGUCUCAUGUGUUAAUAAUGGUUGUACGAUAAUCUUGACCAUUAACUUUUUAUCUAAUAGUUGAAAUAAUGUACUGCACAAUAUACUAACACAUGUAUGACGAAAAAAAUGUACAACAACAGACAGUAACUCAUGUACGACGAAAUGUCGAUUUAAUGGUCAGAAUUUUUUGACGUAUUAAAAUUCGACGUGCAGAAAACUUACCAUGUAUAAACUAUAAAUAUCCUUAAAGGUGAUACUUUUAAAAGAUCUUUUAUCAUUUGUACGAAAUAUAAUAUAUCAGAGAGAGAUUGUGACACAUCCGGAGAGCGUGUCGACCGACGUUGGUCGGAGAGAGCGCCGGGGAAGGGAGAGAACGAGAGAGACGGUAAAAUUAUAAAACUCGUUUGUAUUUAACUCUUAUCGUCGAGUCCCCCCGCACGAACUUCUUUAAUAGUGAUAUGUGGAAGAUGUUAUGGAUCCUUGCUCCUGCUGGCAAUUGUAGACGGACUGCGACUUCUCCGAUCUUCUCGAUCUGUGAUUGUGUAGGGCCCAAAAAACCUCUGCUCCAGCUUGUUAGAUUUCCUCGCCGCGACUGAGCCUUGUUUGUACUUAUGUAGCCUUACCAACACUUCCUCCCCGACGUCAAAUCAAAUGUCCGAACGUUUGAGAUCAGCCUUCUUUUUCAUACCUUCACUAGCCCUGUUUAGAUUCUGCUUUGCGAGUAACAGGGCUUCCUCCCGUUCCUUUAUUGUAUUGAAGGCUUCGUUGUCCGCUAGUGGGUUGUCCUCACAGUGGAACAACGUUGGUGGUGACCGACCGUAUACCGGUUCAAAGGGUGUCAUGCCCGUCGAAGAAUGCUUACUUGUGUUGUACCAUAACUCAGCAAGGUAGAGAAUUUUCGCCCAGUCCCUCGGUCGGUCAAUAGCAAAGCACCUCAGAUAUUGUUGUAAACACCGGUCGACCACCUCCGACUGUCCGUCGGUCUGUGGGCGGUAUGCUAAACUAUGCAACAGCUUUGUUCCGUGCUGCCUGAAUAAGGACUUUCAGAAGCUGCUCAAAAAUAUUGGAUCGCGAUCAGAGAGCAACGAUUUCGGGAACCCAUGUAACCGAACAAUUUCCUUGGAGAAUAGGUCAGUCACUAAAGUGGCAGUGAAAGGCAUCGUCAUGGGAAUAAAAUGACUAGCCUUGCUGAGCCUAUCAACAACUACCAAUAUUGCGGACUUCCCAGACGAUGGCGGCAGGUGAGUUAUAAAGUCCAUUGUCAAUUCUUCCUAGACGGCCGACGGCGUGGGCAGAGGUUGUAGGAGUCCGACCGGCUUCGAGUUAGUGGGCUUAACGACUUGACAUAUCCCGCAUUCCCUGAUCCAUUGUCUAACCUCCUCCCCCAUUCCUUGCAGUAGAAACUCCUCGACUGGACAACGUCGCCUUCUGACCUGAGUGCCCCCCAAUCGGAGUGACGUGAGUUUCAGACCUUAAAUACCCAUUUGGUAUUUAUAUAUGAUGUUAUCGGUCUAAGAUCGUGGGAUUAAAUUCCAUGUAUCAUUUCUUUCAUGAGCAUCGAAUUCUAGCUUCAUGGCAUCAUGGCAGUUCCGCCCUCUAAUUAUUAAGGUGAACGACGGCUUUUUUUUUUUGAGACAAAACCAACUGAUAAUAUAGAUUCCGAAACAAAAAAAAGAGUGUGAUCACAUGCGAUCCACCCCACACCCUCUGCAUUGUUCCAACCCCGGAUCUUACGAUCGUUUGGGCCUUCACAACCUUUGGGGAACUGACUCGAUGUUUUCUAAAACGAUCUAUGUCUCAUCGUUCUUACGUAGUGGGCCUAGGGCAAUGAGGAGUGUAAAAACUCUGGUGUGCCCAAGACAUCUUUUCCUUUGCCAAGAGAAAACUCUGCCAUUACCUUUCGGUCCACUACACAUAAGUGAUUCUACAUAUCAUUUCUACUUUAAUAAUAGAGUCUAUCCCCUGGGAGAUAGAGCUCUAUAUGGAUAUGACUUUAUAGGUCAUUCCAUUUACCAACUUGUUUCUUUCACAGCUUUUGGUGAGACAAAGUUCUAUUUUUAGUUGAACCCCAUCCCACCAUAGGCCUCAGUUUUGAUUCUCUUAAUACAAGUUCCUACUUAAAUAAAAUUACAGACUCAAUAGCAAUUGUUUAAAAUUAAAUAAGUUUCACGUUCGCGCCGACUGGGCGCCUCCGAACCAUACGUCCAUCCAUCUCUGUUCUCUUCGCGUUCCUAUUGCCUUGUACCUGUCUGGCUUGAAGGUCAUAGUUAUGUCUUGAACUGUCCUCCUCCCUAUCUCCUGUGGGCUCGUGCGUCUGUCCUCGUGCACUCUCCUAUUCCUUUCAGUCCAGAUUCCCCAAACUAUCGCUGCCGUGUACGCCCACGUCAGCCCCCAGCAUGGUGAGUUUUUCGUCCUUGCAUUUUCUUAUGCCAUGACCUGUUCUAAAAAUAGAACUGCACGUGUAAUCAAGCUGGGUUUUGCAUUUAAAAUAUAUAUUCAUAGAUCCUUGGAGAACUUGCAUUUGAAGAAGACAUGGUCUUGAGAUUCUCAUGGCCCCCCACAUAAAAUGCAAUCUGUGUUCUCUCCUCCCAUCCUACCCGCCCAGUCAGCCCUCAUGGAUAUUUUGGACCAUCUGACCCUCCAGAGUGUUAUGCUGCAUUUCCUUAUGCUAGUCAUCCAAAUCCACUCCUAGUAGGGGUCUGUUGGUUUUGUAUUCCUAAUGGAAUCCCAAGCGCUCUUAAAUGUUAGAGAAGUUCAUUUUCCUACCCAGGUGCAAUUAUAGUCAGCCUCACACUUUAGCGUCUCCUCUAUUACAUCCUUCUUAUCAACUAUUUCAGCCCAUAGGGCUGAAUCCAAGUUUGGAUGCUUCUCUAUAUCCCUAAGGCAACUGUGAUACAAGCUAUAGCUUAGGGAUUAGGAACGACGGCUUAUGAUAAGACUGUCCUUAGUUAUUUCGAACCAAUGACAAAAUACUAAAAAAUAUUAGAGACGUGAUGACGCAAGACCGAUAAGAUGGUUGUUCCUGUUACAAUCGAUCGAAAAUCUCUCUCUUUAGUCUAGUGUUUACUGUAGACUCAUUAAUCACCUACUGUCUACCCUGAGGUAUGCAGUAUUAAUAACGUUGCUGCCCUGCUAAUAGGGUCGGGUUUGAGCUUGGGUCGUAGUCGGGUCAAACUCGAUCGUGUCCUGAUCCGAGCCAAAUCAUAAUCGGGCUUGGGUCGUAGGUUGAGUCACUGUUGUUAUCUUUAGGCUACUUUCAGUGGGUGAGUGUAUCAUCAUGACGGUUUUUUGAAAAGUCAUCGCUAAUUAACAAGGUUAGCGGUUCAUGGGAGAACUGUCGGCGUCCUUGUAGAAUCAUGAGGUGAGUGGUGAUUAUUUAACCUAAUGUCAUUGUUGUAGUAGUUAAUAAAUGCAAAGGUAGUUUAGUAAUUUCAUAAAUAAUUAAAAGUAAAAAACAUACUUAAUGUCAAAGCAAAUAUUUAGUACAUUAUUUUCAAAGCAAAAGCUAUCCAUAGAGCAUGGACCAUGGAUAAUAAUACUAAUUUAUUAAUUUUAAUAAUAUCGUCGGAAUCACGGAAGGUGGAUGGAUGCCGGCGAAUCAUCAGAUGAUCGGAAUCAAGUUUCUCUUUUCAAAAGAUGAACCGCAAAGGAACCGGUGCAUACAAUCAGUCCCAUUAACGACGGGAAGCUUACCGCGCUGUUAAUCAAGAAAAAAAAUAUCGAUUCAUAUAUAAACCCAAACGGAUUGAUUAUAUUAAAUACUGAUAGCUAGAUUCGCUAGUCGAUUAUCAAGUAACUUACCCAAUUCCAGCGAACCUCUUGGAGGGCUCGCCAAGGGAGUAAUUCUUGAAGUAGAAGAACCGGCUGAUUGUGUAGAGGGAUCCGAG
rnacentral:lncRNA from 1 species